AAGCACUCGUGGGACAAGGAACAGCUGAAAGUGGUGAUGUUUUGGAACAUGUUUGCUGUAGCAUUUAUUUUCUUGACUUUGGUUUCAUUUGCUGUCUUUUUGAAUCAGUAUUCACUAACAUGUUCUGGAGUAACAAUCCUAACUGCUGCAUAUCAGUACCUAGCACUUUUACUGCCAGCUAUAAAUAGAAUUGCUGCUAAAAGCAAAUGGCAAGAAAGUUUGACAAUCUCUCUAAAAUUGCUUCCAUUGUGUUUAAGUUUUCCCAACAACGGUCUGGAUCUUAUUUCUGCAAAUGCUACUCAUCUGCAGUAUCCCAAGCAUAUAUGAUGAUCCUGCAAACUUUGAACUGACCAUGGAGUUGCUCAACACAUCCUCCUGCACUGCAGCACUGAGUGCUCAACAUGUGGACUAAACAGAGCUCACAGAGCUGUCUUAAGAUCCUGGGGACUAGAAGCCUGUUAUUCAAGCCCAUCAUUCUGCUAUCUCUUUAUGAAUUCAUGGCCAGGCCAGCUCAUUCACCUUUCCUCCUCCUCCUGUCCUGUGUCGAGCGGGAGCCACUUAGCGAGCAAACACCUAGAGGCCAACUCUGACUCUCAUUUGGGGCAGUUCCCAAAACACAGACCACGACAUCCCUGGAGUGCAAGGAAGAGGAAGACAAACAGAAGGCAUAUGAUGAAGCUACAUGUCGUGGAAGGCCAAAAAUAGGCCUAAUAUGUGUCCUGACUUGUCCAAACAUGAUCCCUUACUCCCCUUCCCCUCUGCUGGAGUGGGAAGCAACACAGGAUGAGGACAAAACACCUGGAGAUACUGAGUCUGAGGGCCUGAUUUGCCCAGACUCGUUUUGCUCCUGAUUACAUUCUGUGGCACACAAGGUACACAUGCUUGCCUGAUGCACACACCUGUGCUUUCACAAAUUCAGGUAAAGCAAGCCCCUAGCUUCAACUAAUACAGUUAGCUUUGGCACAAAGACACCAUGCUUGCCUGCAACCUGUGAACCUCCAUGCCAAGUCCAGAGCCCCCUAAGAAGGAAUCAAGAUAAGGUCAGAGACCAUGCAAGCCCCAGCACCCUGCCAGAGUCCUUGAGAAACUCUAAAGCCUCCAACGGUUAUCACGCUGCCGACACCACUUCUUCAACUGUUUUGGGUACUGUCUGGAAGUAUAGAGCAGCCUUGGAAAUCCAGAGAUGAUAAUUUUAUAUGCGACUUUAGAAGUUCAUCUGGAGAGCUACAAAAUGGUUUAGGUGAUUUGGGAAACAGUCCUAUACAAGGCUUGGAUGCAAGUGAUCCUGGUACCAGUGUGAAACCAAGAGGAAGCAUAUGGAGAGAGGUGUAUGGCAGAACUGUAUCAAAGCCAGAAGGUCAGGAGGUCUUCUGAGUGGAGGUCACUGCACAGACGAGACUGUUGCCUUCAAGACUGCGUUUCCCCUUCUGCUUUGAAGGCAGAAGCUGAAUGCAACAGCACUGCAUAGACAGAAAGUGGAGUUUGGAAAAAGAUGUGACUGCUUUUCUGUAUUGCAUAAGACCUGACAAGCAAUUUCUUCCUUAUCUUCUACCUUCUCUUUCCCCCUUCUCUUUACUUCCUUACCUACUUCUCUUGUCUCCCUCUCCUCUCUUU